GCAGACACAUUCCAGCCAAUCAGCAGCAGACCCUCCCUCCCAGACCCUCCCACCUCCUGGACAGGAUCCAUUGUGAAGCUGCAUUCUUAGUGAGCUGUCCAGGAGGUGGGAGGGUCUGGGAGGGAGGGUCUGUUGCUGAUUGGCUGGAAUGUGUCUG